rnacentral:rRNA from 1 species
GACGAACGCUGGCGGCGUGCUUAACACAUGCAAGUCGAACGGAAAGGCCCUGCUUUUGUGGGGUGCUCGAGUGGCGAACGGGUGAGUAACACGUGAGUAACCUGCCCUUGACUUUGGGAUAACUUCAGGAAACUGGGGCUAAUACCGGAUAGGAGCUCCUGCUGCAUGGUGGGGGUUGGAAAGUUUCGGCGGUUGGGGAUGGACUCGCGGCUUAUCAGCUUGUUGGUGGGGUAGUGGCUUACCAAGGCUUUGACGGGUAGCCGGCCUGAGAGGGUGACCGGCCACAAUGGGACUGAGAUACGGCCCAGACUCCUACGGGAGGCAGCAGUGGAGAAUAUUGCACAAUGGGCGGAAGCCUGAGGCAGCAACGCCGCGUGCGGGAUGACGGCCUUCGGGUUGUAAACCGCUUUCGCCUGUGACGAAGCGUGAGUGACGGUAAUGGGUAAAGAAGCACCGGCUAACUACGUG